rnacentral:snoRNA from 1 species
GAUUUUUUUUAUAUGAUGAAAUAACCAUGCAACAUAGAGUCAAGCUCUGAGUCAAAAAUGACAUGGGAAGAGAAUUGCCUUUUUAUACUGAACUAUUAAUAAUC